ACCUCUCUUCCGAUCCCUCAGAGCCAGGUGUUGGUGGUCAUUAAUACACUAAAUCUUAUGCUGAAAAUUCCCGGAGAUUUAGUUAAUAAAGAAAAUUUAUUGCAGCUAAAUAAAUAAAAGGGACUUGUUG